rnacentral:tRNA from 1 species
CAGGGAGACUUAAAAUUAUUGUGAUGUCUAAGUUAUUUAUUCUUAGGCCGCAAUACUGUCACCUUAAGGCCGAUCGGUACCUCAGAUGUUUGAAUUAAUUUUUUAAUUAAUUUUUUUAUUUCAGUUCCUAAACUUGUCUAGGUCACACCCAACAAAGGUUUCUCCUGGGCCAUUAGCUCAGGUGGUUAGAGCGCACCCCUGAUAAGGGUGAGGUCCCUGGUUCAAGUCCAGGAUGGCCCAUUCGUUGUUGGGGGUAUAGCUCAGUUGGUAGAGCGCCUGCUUUGCAAGCAGGAUGUCAGCGGUUCGAGUCCGCUUACCUCCACUGAAAACUAUCCUGUUAACUGUAUUUCCGGAGAAAACUUGUAGAUGUGACUUAGAAUCUUCUAUUUGAAAAGAACCUAGCUUCUUAUCAUCUUCUUAAUAGUUGAUAAUAUGCUGGGCUCCUAUGGAUUUAUUCCAUGAGAAUUCAGUAGAACCUUGAAAACUGCAUAGAUAAGAAAGAAUAAAGCAUCUCAUGGAUGCAUAAUUCUGAUUUGAUUUUUAGCUUCAAUGCUAAAUGAUCAAGUUAAAGAAUUCAUGUUUAAUUCUUGAGUAAUAGCCGAGCACAAUUGAAUUGUGUUUGUAUUUAA